rnacentral:rRNA from 1 species
CACGUAGGGGGCGAGCGUUGUCCGGAUUUAUUGGGCGUAAAGAGCUCGUAGGUGGCUCGGUAAGUCGGGUGUGAAAUUUCGAGGCUCAACCUCGAGACGCCACCUGAUACUGCUGUGGCUAGAGUCCGGUAGGGGAGCGUGGAAUUCCUGGUGUAGCGGUGAAAUGCGCAGAUAUCAGGAGGAACACCGGUGGCGAAGGCGGCGACCUGGGUAGAUACUGACGCUGAGGUGCGAAAGCGUGGGGAGCAAACAGG